UGUACGUCAGACUGCGGAUACCAAGGCUGUCGUACCCUGACCUGGUGGAAGCAGCGGUAGCAACUGGACCCUUGAAGUUUUGCAGAAGAUUCAGCAAAGCUUUCAGAUAUUCAAUAGAUGUAUGUCUAUUCAUAGAACUUUGCGGGACAUGUUGUAUCUACCAUAUUGUGAUUGCCCAGACACUAAAACAGAUUAUGGAAGCGGUAUCCCCAACAAUGAAGAAUAUGAACUUGACCAUAAGGAUCUAUAUCCUGAUAGUCUUAGUUCCUCUAUUUUUUCUCUGCAUGAUACGGAACCUGAAGUAUUUGGCUCCAUUCUCAUUAUUGGCAGAU